rnacentral:rRNA from 1 species
UACGGAGGAUCCAAGCGUUAUCCGGAUUUAUUGGGUUUAAAGGGUGCGUAGGCGUCUUCUUAAGUCAGGGGUGAAAGACGGUGGCUCAACCAUCGCAGUGCCUUUGAUACUGAUGAGCUUGAAUACACUUGAGGUAGGCGGAAUGUGACAAGUAGCGGUGAAAUGCAUAGAUAUGUCACAGAACACCAAUUGCGAAGGCAGCUUACUAAGGUGCAAUUGACGCUGAGGCACGAAAGCGUGGGGAGCAAACAGG